rnacentral:rRNA from 1 species
ACGGAGGAUCCGAGCGUUAUCCGGAUUUACUGGGUUUAAAGGGUGCGUAGGCGGGCCCCUCAGUCAGCGGUGAAAGUCUGCGGCUCAACCGUAGGAUUGCCGUUGAUACUGGGGGCCUUGGAUUCGGUCGAGGCGGGCGGAAUGCGUGGUGUAGCGGUGAAAUGCUUAGAUAUCACGCAGAACGCCGAUUGCGAAGGCAGCUCGCCGGGCCGAAAUCGACGCUGAGGCACGAAAGCGUGGGGAUCGAACAG